rnacentral:rRNA from 1 species
UACGGAGGAUCCAAGCGUUAUCCGGAAUCAUUGGGUUUAAAGGGUCCGUAGGCGGUUUUAUAAGUCAGUGGUGAAAUCUGGUCGCUCAACGAUCAAACGGCCAUUGAUACUGUAGAACUUGAAUUACUUGGAAGUAACUAGAAUAUGUAGUGUAGCGGUGAAAUGCUUAGAGAUUACAUGGAAUACCAAUUGCGAAGGCAGGUUACUGCGAGUAUAUUGACGCUGAUGGACGAAAGCGUGGGGAGCGAACAGG